UACGAAGGGGGCUAGCGUUGCUCGGAAUCACUGGGCGUAAAGCGCACGUAGGCGGAUUGUUAAGUCAGGGGUGAAAUCCUGGAGCUCAACUCCAGAACUGCCUUUGAUACUGGCGAUCUUGAGUCCGGGAGAGGUGAGUGGAACUGCGAGUGUAGAGGUGAAAUUCGUAGAUAUUCGUAAGAACACCAGUGGCGAAGGCGGCUCACUGGCCCGGUACUGACGCUGAGGUGCGAAAGCGUGGGGAGCAAACAGG
rnacentral:rRNA from 1 species